rnacentral:rRNA from 1 species
ACUCCUACGGGAGGCAGCAGUGGGGAAUAUUGCACAAUGGGCGCAAGCCUGAUGCAGCCAUGCCGCGUGUAUGAAGAAGGCCUUCGGUUGUAAAGUACUUUCAGCAGUGAGGAAGGUGGAUAUGUUAAUAGCAUAUUCAUUUGACGUUAGCUGCAGAAGAAGCACCGGCUAACUCCGUGCCAGCAGCCGCGGUAAUACGGAGGGUGCGAGCGUUAAUCGGAAUUACUGGGCGUAAAGCGCAUGCAGGUGGUUUGUUAAGUCAGAUGUGAAAGCCCGGGGCUCAACCUCGGAAUUGCAUUUGAAACUGGCAAACUAGAGUACUGUAGAGGGGGUAGAAUUUCAGGUGUAGCGGUGAAAUGCGUAGAGAUCUGAAGGAAUACCGGUGGCGAAGGCGGCCCCCUGGACAGAUACUGACACUCAGAUGCGAAAGCGUGGGGAGC